GACGAACGCUGGCGGCGUGCCUAAUACAUGCAAGUAGAACGCUGAAAUAAGAGCUUGCUCUUAUGGAUGAGUUGCGAACGGGUGAGUAACACGUGGGGAACCUACCUUCUAGCGGGGGAUAACACAUAGAAAUGUGUGCUAAUACCGCAUAACAAUGAUUGAUGCAUAUCGAUUAUUUGAAAGGCGCAAUUGCGUCACUAGAAGAUGGCCCCGCGGUGCAUUAGCUAGUUGGUGAGGUAACGGCUCACCAAGGCAAUGAUGCAUAGCCGACCUGAGAGGGUGAUCGGCCACAUUGGGACUGAGACACGGCCCAAACUCCUACGGGAGGCAGCAGUAGGGAAUCUUCGGCAAUGGACGAAAGUCUGACCGAGCAACGCCGCGUGAGUGAAGAAGGUUUUCGGAUCGUAAAACUCUGUUGUCAGAGAAGAACAAGGAUAAGAGUGGAAAGUUUAUCCCUUGACGGUAUCUGACCAGAAAGCCACGGCUAACUACGUGCCAGCAGCCGCAGUAAUAC
rnacentral:rRNA from 1 species